CGACCAAACCAAUCCUCUGCCUCCUCCCCUGCUCUCGCCUCGCCCGCACAACCCCACCCAAUCCCUCGCUCACUCGACCAGAUCCAAGACGGCAGCGGCGGCCGAGAGCGGACCGUGUGGGAGGAGGAGUUCGGCGAGCGCGAGCUGAAGGUGGUCGCUGUUCUCGCGGAUCUGCCAUCCAUCAUGCGGGUCAGCAGCCGCCAGCAGCAGCUGGCGCGGCCGGAGAUCCCCUCGUGGGGCCGACGCCGGCCGAGGAAGGCCCUGGCGGCACCGCCGGCCGAGAAGCCCGCGGCCGAUGACGAUAUGAGCGAGGGCAUCGCCAGCCCGGACACCCCGCUCGCCUUCUCCGAGGGCGACGACCACGACGAGGCGGCGGCGGCGGAGGACGAGGCCAAGGCCAGCGCGCAGGACAAGGUGAGCCGCCAGGCCACGAGAUCAGCGCCCGCCCGCCUCCCUCCGCCAAUUAGGGCCGCGGGGAGGUGGCUGCUCUCACUCCUGCCUAACGCUCGCCUCACGCGCGAAUAUGGACAAGGUUGUUAGAUGGAAGGACAAGGCGGCGGCGGUGGAGACGGGGAGUCGAUUAGGAAGGAAAAAAGAGUUUGUGCAACUGCUGCUCAGUGCGAAAAACAGAGGUAAAUAAAUUUAUUGUUCAGGUGGCGAGAUUUAGUCUCCCUUCUUUGUAUUCAACGGUGAACUACUGAAUGGUGUUGAUAAAUUCAUGGCAUGACCGCAUGAGUUGUCGAGGAGGACGUCAAAGUGUGGGAGGUUGCAGCCUUGCAGGAGAUUAGCCUUACCUUGGCAAAUUAGUUUGCGGCCCUAAAGCUGUAUGUUUGCUUAAUCUGAAGUGUGCACAAAUAUUUGUGUUUAAUGAGUGAAAUGUAUCCGUUUGACUGACAUGAACCUUCAGGAAAGACAGAUCCUAGGUUGGCUUCACUUGGUAGUAACUAUGGAAACCUCAAGAAUGUUGUUGACGUCCUGAAGGCUUUUGAGUUGUAUUGUCAGGUCCCUCCGUUACUUAAAACCAACAAGGAACUUUAUCAUUUUUCCCUGACACUGUAAGCUUGAUAGAAUACACUGUAUGCCACCACAUGUUGUGUUAUUACUUUCAUCUGCUUUUCUUAAAAUGUGUGUGACGAUUGUCGCUAACAAUGUCGGAAAGAUUCCAACAGAAAAUAAAUUUCUCUAUAGUGAACCCUCUAAUCAAAAAGAAAAGAGAAUCACUUAUUCAUCAUUGAUUAAAUCUAUUUACGAGUUAUAAUUUUUUUGUUGAUAAUCUUCAGUGUAAACUCUAUUAUCUUUUGCUUCAUUGCCAGGUUUAUGCACUUUUCCCAUGGUAUAAUAUACGAAACAAAAUCAAUUUAUUGGAUCACAAUCAUAUCUGGAAGUAUCUGCACCACUGUAAGCGAUCUUGUAUAGUUCGAAUGUUACAUUUCACUUUAAUUGCUUUGAUGAAUGUGUGGACUAAGAAAAUUUUAGUUUCUCCUGUCAUCAAUAAAUGUUAUAAGAUUUAGAUUAUUGAAUUCAGUAAAAAUUCAAAACAUAUGAGAGCACUAACCAUGUUUCGGCUCCUUGACUGAGGAUGUACGAACUUGCAAAAAGCAUGAGCGUAGAAGCGAAAGAAGGAGAUUAAUGAAGGGGAUUAAGCUUCCAAGUGCGGCAACUAGGAACAUCUCGAUCGGUGAUUUGAAGUGUGUUCUUCAAUAGCACGGUGCAUGGAUACUUGCAUGUGUUCUCCCGAUGCAACACACGCUACUUAAUUAGUCAUAGAACUACAUACAAGCCUCUGAUGCCAAAAAGUUGUUAUUUAAGCACAUAUUUUACUGGAUUUUAUUCUGUAUGAAAAAACGUAAAAAAUGCCUCUACACACCAUGGCUGUCGGCAUUACGGCACUCCAAUCAGCAUCUCUUGGUAAUCUUUUAGGAUCACCAAUGUAUGUUUUAUGAUAGGUUUUAUCAGGCAUGAAGGUGGCAUGGGCCAGCAAGGAGUCUGGGGGUUCAGCAGGACAUCCUUGCCGGAGUAGUCGAGCAGAGGCUGACACUGGCCAAUAUGAGCAGCAUUGCCGCAGAUCGCCUCCAUGUGGGCUGCUGUUGCAAAGUCACUGUGCUGCACCUCAGCAAAUUCAGUAGGAUGUGUUCAGCCACUAUCAGACUUUGGUGGUAUGCUCUGGCUGCAAAACUAUGCUCUUCCAACCUACCGGUGGAAAGGGGAGGCUCACCAAGGGAUGCCUUAUUAUGGAAAAAAUGAAGCCCUUCUUAAGAUUGUUUACUACUACUUAUCCUCGAUGUGGGGAGACCAACCAAAAGAGGAGUCAGGACUCAGGAGCAAGCAAAUUACAGUUUGUACACAACGAUUUGACAUUCAGCAUAUAUGCACUAGAGUUUCAGAAGGUCAAUAAUACCCAAUGCAUUGCCUUCCAUGACCUACCUUGGUCUGUUCUCAUGGAUGAUCUGCUAACUCAUUUUAAUUCGGUGCCUAGGUACUAUUUCCUUUGGCAUUGUGUUUUAUAAUAUUUAGUACCAUUGGUGCAGCUUAAUAUGCAAAGCCUGAGAUUUGUUCAAGUUGCCAAGCAAAUGUCUGUGCUAAUUCUCACAAGAAACUUAUGUUUCCACUGUUUUCGAAUACAAGUACACAAUAAAGUUUUCA